rnacentral:rRNA from 1 species
GAUGAACGCUGGCGGCGUGCCUAAUACAUGCAAGUCGAGCGAACAGACGAGGAGCUUGCUCCUCUGACGUUAGCGGCGGACGGGUGAGUAACACGUGGAUAACCUACCUAUAAGACUGGGAUAACUUCGGGAAACCGGAGCUAAUACCGGAUAAUAUAUUGAACCGCAUGGUUCAAUAGUGAAAGACGGUUUUGCUGUCACUUAUAGAUGGAUCCGCGCCGCAUUAGCUAGUUGGUAAGGUAACGGCUUACCAAGGCAACGAUGCGUAGCCGACCUGAGAGGGUGACGGGCCACACUAGUACGGAUCCACCCUCACUACGCCAACGGGUGGCAGCGCUAGGGAAUCUUCGGCAUUAGGGUCACACCUGACAAACCAACGUUUAUUGAGUAACAAAAAUCUUACGAUCCUCAACCCCUGUUAUUAGGGAAGAACAAAUGAGUACAACCCUAUACCACUUUCGACGCUACCUAAUAAGAAAGCCACAGCUCACUCCGUU